ensembl:lncRNA
CCUUGGCCGGCUGGAAUGUCACAGAAACCAAUGUCAAAUAAAUACAGGGCUUGCACUCCAUGUUGCAAAAAUAAGCAUGUCCAUUUGCUUGAAAGAAAAAAAAAAAAGUCUUUCAGAUGAGGGAACAUUUUCCAGUCAAUCACACAGCAGCAAAGUCAUCCUGUUGAAUUUGUGACUCACAGGCUCUCUGUGUCAAUAGACAGAGAGUGAGCCCAGCGUUAUGACUUCAGUGGGAGAUGAAGCAGAAGCUGGGAUGAGGCAGGGCUGGCUUUAAAGCAGAGCCCUGGGCUCUGACAAUAAAUAGCGGAGGAAAGUCUGACCACUCACAGGGAGCUCUUGAGGGAGGCCACCCUGGUCCGAAGUGCAUCUUACUUCUAACGUCUGCGUGGGCUCUAGCAAAGGAUCUAGCGGAAAAUACGGUUCAGGGAGUGUGUGAAGCCUGGGCCAACGCAGAGAACGAAGAGAAGACGUGGAGGAAGGACAUGGACUUUUGGCCUCGUAUCCACGCCUGCACCAAAGCCCAGACACCAGGUCUAUGUGGCUGUGUCUAACCAGCAGAUUUCUGUCCAAAGUUACACAAAGCUGAUGUUGCUGAAACUUACAGGUUUCUAUGACCGGAGCCUCUUGUGCCAGUUGCUACCUAUACCUUGGCCUUGGCUCCCAUCUGCUCUUUGGCUAAAAUGCCUGGAUUUGUGCCCAGUUGUAGAUUUCUGUCUCCACCUACUUAAGACUUACGGUCUUGAAGGCAUCUUCAGAGCCAACUGCCACAACAUUUCAGGGUAAGGUUUGUUUUUUCUUUUUAAAUUAAAAAAAAAAAAGAAUAUAUAUAUAUAGGGUCUUCCCUGGUAGCUCAGUGGUAAAGAAUCCACCUGCUGAUGCAGGAGAC